rnacentral:rRNA from 1 species
GACGAACGCUGGCGGCGUGCUUAACACAUGCAAGUCGAACGGACCCAAGCUUUAAGUUUACUUAGAGCUGACGGUUAGUGGCGGACGGGUGAGUAACACGUGGAUAAUCUGCCUAUGACACAGGAAUAACACUGUGAAAACGGUGCUAAUACCAGAUACACUUAUCGGGUCGCAUGUCCUGAUAAGGAAAGGAGCAAUCCGGUCAUAGAUGAGUCCGCGGCUGAUUAGCUAGUUGGUAGGGUAAAGGCCUACCAAGGCGAUGAUCAGUAGCCGGCCUGAGAGGGUGAACGGCCACACUGGGACUGAGACACGGCCCAGACUCCUACGGGAGGCAGCAGUCGAGAAUAGUCUACAAUGGCCGGAAGGCUGAUAGUGCGACGCCGCGUGAACGAGGGAGCCCUUCGGGGUGUAAGUUCUUUUCUAUACGAGCAGUGCUAUAUAUAUGGAUAGUAUAUAUAGAGGGAUAGUAGUAUAGGAAUAAGCAAC